GACGAACGCUGGCGGCGUGCUUAACACAUGCAAGUCGAACGGUAAGGCCCUUCGGGGUACACGAGUGGCGAACGGGUGAGUAACACGUGGGUGAUCUGCCCUGCACUUCGGGAUAAGCCUGGGAAACUGGGUCUAAUACCGGAUAGGACCACUGCCUGCAUGGGUGGUGGUGGAAAGCAUUUGCGGUGUGGGAUGGGCCCGCGGCCUAUCAGCUUGUUGGUGGGGUGAUGGCCUACCAAGGGGGCGGAGGGUAGCCGGCCUGAGAGGGUGACCGGCCACACUGGGACUGAGAUACGGCCCAGACUCCUACGGGAGGCAGCAGUGGGGAAUAUUGCACAAUGGGCGCAAGCCUGAUGCAGCGACGCCGCGUGAGGGAUGACGGCCUUCGGGUUGUAAACCUCUUUCAGCACCGACGAAGCGCAAGUGACGGUAGGUGCAGAAGAAGGACCGACCAACUACGUGCCAGCAGCCGCCGUAA
rnacentral:rRNA from 1 species